rnacentral:misc_RNA from 1 species
GUGAAUCAUCAAAUCUUUGAACGCAAAUUGCACUUUCUGGUAUUCCGGAAAGUAUGCCUGUUUGAGGGUCAGUAAAAUAAAAAUCGUUGGUUUUGCUGCCUUUUGUGGUUACGCGUCGGUUUUGGGUUGUCUUAUCUUCGGUUAAGUGACUUAAAAUUUUUGCAUGAUUUUCGUACGUAUUUAAAUCGCUUACGUACGUUUGAGAUAUCGAAUGCUUAU